UCCUGGGGCUUGUUGCACAAAAGUAGAAUUAAGACAUCCGGGAUAAAUGACUCAGCUGAGCUCAAUGAAGCCAAAACAUGUGCGUCCAGGCUUAAUUGGUUGCACAAAGACCAAGCCAGGAUGAGCAGACACGGAUUCAUUAAGCCAGGUGAAACCAAUCCUGGAUACGUGCGCGCUCACGGCUCACUCAAAUAGACCCCGCCACAGAUCACAGAUUAACUGAUUUACCAUGGCAACUAGAGCCGUCGUACUUUCCCCGUCGGAAGCACAAAUCCUCAUGGAGGCAUACGAGGAGGUAAAAUAUAUAAUUAAGAAGAAAGGCAACACCGCCACAGUGAUAAAGCAAAGAGAAAAAGCGUGGCAAAGUAUUGCAGACCGCCUGAAUGCAUUAAACAUGAACGGGCCAAAUGGACAUGGCAGCAGGUCAAAAUCAAAUACAAGAACAUUCUGCAGAAUGCAGUGAAAAAGAAUACCCACAGACAAGGCACGGGUGGUGGGUCACCAAAGGCUGACCUUACCCCCAGCAGAGGACAUGGCCUUGGAGCUAAAUAAAGGCAGGCCCGUCUUAGAGGGGAUCCCUGGGGGAAAGAGACGAGCAAGGUUCCUCCCAAGAUGCCACCCGCUUCAUUCAAGUGUCUGGCAGCACUGUGUUCCUGUUAGAGCCACCAGCACAAGCACCAGACGAUGCUGAUCCAGGUGAAGGCCCCAGUGCAGCAGCAACAGCACAUGAUGGAGACGAUGAUGAGGAGGAGACCAUCUCUCUGGAUUCCAGAAGGCAUGAGGACCCAGAUGCUAUACAGUGGGGAAAACCAGCCUGGCAACAUAAGCUCACAAGCUAUCAGAAAGUUGUAUGGCAACCACCUCCGGCGCCAAAUAGAACUGGCAGACAUAGACAUUCAGUACAAGAAGAAAAAGAUGGAAAAUCUUGCACUGGAGUCCGAAAAAAAAGAGGACAAUUAGGAAACUGGACCUUGAAAUAAAAAAACUUGAGAGGGAGCUCCAAGAAGAUGACACAGCUCAAAAUAAAAAUUAGCAAUCAGUACAACCAAGUCAUCGUUAUAAGGCAUCGCCCUCUUUUGCCCACCCCCCAGCACCAGGUGUGGCCACUAGCCCAUAUGAAGGCCCAAAAUUGUGUGUUCCUUUCUGCUCUGACAAUGGCAUGCCCAUUCGUGCGAGAUGUGGUGGAUGAAGAAGCACUUGUGCUGAGGAGAGCCUUCAGGCGAGAAAGGGUCUUCAGGGACCGGUUGACACUGGCCCCUGAUGACCAUCUAUAUGAAAGAUACAGGUUUUCUGCAGAUGGCAUCAGGUAUCUAUGCAGACACUGGGUCCCAGGAUUAAGCACCGCACUGCACGGAGCCAUGCACGAGUGUGGAGCAAAUGGUUUGUGUGGCCUUGCUUUUUUUCUAGUGGAGCCUUCCUGUACUCAGUGGGGAUGCAGAACAGCUGAACAAGGCCACAAUUUGCCGCACAAUAAGGAGUGUGUGUCUGGCUAUCAAAGCAUUAGCAGAUGUCUUCAUCUCCUUCCCUGGCCACAGAAGACUCUGACAUCAAAGAGGAGUUCUAUAGGAUUGCAGAUGGUCUGCAAUGCUGACUGUGUGAUCAGCAAUGUUGUGGCAAAAUGGCCUGGCUCAGUCCAUGACUCCAGAAUCUUUCGGGCCUCUGAAAUCUAUCAGUGCCUAUCACAAGGUGAAUUCUCUGGUGUGCUGCUGGGAGACAGGGGGUAUGGCUGCCAGCCUUUUCUCCCCUGACACCUUUCCACAGACCCCCAGGAAGCACAGCAGGCCUACAACCAUGCCCAUGGCAGGACCAGGGCCAGAGUUGAAAUGACCUUUGGCCUCCUGAAGGC